AACACAAAGAUUUAAAUUAAAUGAAAUAGUGUAUUUAAACGUGCGCUGGCCACGAGGGGCGUUAACGUGAUGUUACGUGAGUGACGUAAACGUGAUGGCAAAAAAAAAAAAAAACGUAAACGUAACGUGAUGGCGCAAAUAACCACGAAGACGGGAAGAAUAAUUCUGUUUAUUACAAAAGACUGAAGAUAUAACUGCCGCCAUCCUUUAAUUUAUUUAUUUCUACGCUGAGGACACUUUAUAAACCUACAGAGAUACCGGACCAACGAACGACCUUCACAACGGGACGGAGCUAACGUAAUUAACGUUAACGGUUACUUGGAAAUUCAAACAGUAACGGUCAUCUGACAACUGCGCUGAGCCAAAGGACGGGAACAGCAACAAGAGUUUAACUUCUGAUUCGUAAUCUACACACUCUACUGGGCAGUUCAUGAAGACAGAUAGAUGUUGUGCCGACCAGGACAGUUCCUCCUACCACACCAGACUUUGCUGUAUAUGGAUGCCUGACCACUAGCACUGGACAUUUACAACAUUUUGGCGCUAGGGAUCCCUUGCAGAGAAGAUUUUUCAAAGACACCCUCAGAAUUACAACAGAUUUUAAGGCUUAAAAUUAUUGUGGGUGGGAGUCAGGAAAAAACACAUAAGUUGCAUCCGUGUAUAAGACACAUUUUACUAUUAAUUUCAGAAAUAUUUUAAAUACUGAUAAAUAAAACAAACGUUAAGAAACUUAAAAACUAUGAACACUGUAAAGAUUUUAUUUUCCCUCACUUCAAAUCGUUUAAAUUGAAUACUAUUCAAAACAGAAUAAAAAUAAAAAUAUUUAGGCCUAUGUAUAAAAUAAAUAAAAAAUUCUAGUGCCAUUAUUUACAAGCAGUAUAUCUUUUGUUAAUUAAAAUGCACUUGCUAUCUCAGUUUCUGUGAACCUCAUUCUGAAAUGUAGAAAACAUUUCUGUACCACAUAUUGUCUGUACCACUGUGUACAGACAGGCUUGUCACACAGACAUGAGAACUAUACUUAUAGAAACCUGUAAGUGCCCGCUUUUAUGUGUUUUUACGUUUUGCUUAGAAUAAUUCAGCACAUCUCAGAAGAUUAAAAAAAAAAAAAGACCAGUAGUCUGGAAAAUAUGGUAUAAAUUAUUUUGUUGACCCCUUUGCUUUGGUCCUGAACUCCAGAUUGAAAACCCUUUUUUAUUAUUAUUAUUG